AAAAAAAAAAAAAAAAAAAGAAUGAAAGCCUACUAUGUGCCAGUCACCAAGUAAGGGGCUGUUACAGAAGUGAAUGGAGAGGGGAAUAAGGCAUGAGACAAAUAAUUACACAGAUGAAUAUAUAAUUGCAAAUUGAAAUAAGUGCUGGAAAGGAGAAUAGCCUACUAUGAAAGAGAAUGAUAGGCAAGGCCUUUUUUUCCCCCCGAGUACUUUGAGUUACUGUUUUAUAAGGGUGCCAUUUAAACCAAGUUCUGAAGGAUAAAUAAAAGUAACCGAUAUUAACAGAAGGGGAGGAAGAACAUUCCUGGCAGAGGAAAAAGCAUGUAUGAUGGGGUUCCCAUAGAACUGUGGACCCCAAGCCCCAAGGCCACUGACCGGCACCAGUCAGUGGCCUAUUAAGAAGUGGACAGCACAGCACAGGUGAGCAGAGGGUGAGAAAGUGGAGCUUCAUUUAUAUUUAUAGCUGCUCCCCAUCUCUUGCAUCUUCGCCUGAGCUCCACCUCCUGUCAGAUCAGUGGCAGCAUUACAUUCUGCAUUAUGGCUAAAAGUGAAGUUAAAACAGCCUGAAGGAGAGACUUAAAUGAAGCACUUCCAGCCACAACCAAGACAGAAGCGAAAGCCGAGACUGAGACUGCGCAGGCGCAGAGAAGACUAGCCAACCUCACAAGCUCGCCCCGGGGCCUCUACCCGACAGGAAGCACAGAAAGAGCAUAGCCACCAACGCGGGAGUCCUGUGUGCCCUCCCCUUCCUCGUGAGGACCUCAGACCGUCCAGAAUAUGUUUGAGAGCCUGCCUGCUGAGGCCAAGGGGCUGACCCUCGCUCCCCGCCCAGGCCGAACCUGGACAGCAGGUGCCAGCCGCGAGUGAGACGCCAGGACAGGAAGGGGCCGCCAGGCCUCUCAGGAUCAGCUUCCU